rnacentral:rRNA from 1 species
ACUCAAAGGAAUAGACGGGGGCCCGCACAAGCGGUGGAGCAUGUGGUUCAAUUCGACGCAACGCGAAGAACCUUACCGGGGUUUGAACUGUACGGGACCGCUACAGAGAUGUAGCUUUCCUUCGGGACCCGUAUAGAGGUGCUGCAUGGCUGUCGUCAGCUCGUGUCGUGAGAUGUUGGGUUAAGUCCCGCAACGAGCGCAACCCUUGCCUGCUGUUGCUAACGAGUAAAGUCGAGCACUCUGCAGAGACUGCCGGUGAUAAACCGGAGGAAGGUGGGGAUGACGUCAAGUCCUCAUGGCCUUUAAGCCCCGGGCUACACACGUGCUACAAUGGUUGGUACAAAGGGUUGCAAAACCGCGAGGUGGAGCUAAUCCCAAAAAGCCAAUCCCAGUUCGGAUUGCAGUCUGCAACUCGACUGCAUGAAGUUGGAAUCGCUAGUAAUCGCGGAUCAGCACGCCGCGGUGAAUACGUUCCCGGGCCUUGCACACACCGCCCGU